CAAUCCUCCAGCGUCAGCCUCCCAAAAGCGCUGGAAUUACAGGAACAGCAAAGCAAAGAGUGGACCUCAAGUGAUAUCUUUGAAUUUUGGAGGAAAAAAAACAAACCUAAAGAGAUGGUUUUAUUUUUCCUAAAUAUCCAGAAUGAAAAUCUAUACUGAAAAAUGAAAAUCUAUACUGAAAGCCAAAAUUGGAUGACUCUUUACCAUACUUCCAAAUAUGAAACACUGUAUUCAUUCUGCCUCCAAAUUCUACACUCCAGUAUCCAACCAAUUCAGAGUGAGCUGUCCGAAGAUGAG